rnacentral:tRNA from 1 species
GUUCCUAUAGUUGAAUAUCCAACAAUGGUUUUUCAAGCCAUAGGUCCCGGUUUGAGUCCGGGUAGGAAUU